rnacentral:rRNA from 1 species
UAAGCGGAGGAAAAGAAACUAACAAGGAUUCCCCUAGUAACGGCGAGUGAAGCGGGAAGAGCUCAAAUUUGUAAUCUGGCACUUUCAGUGUCCGAGUUGUAAUCUCGAGAAGUGUUUUCCGUGUCGGACCGCAUAUAAGUCUGUUGGAAUACAGCGUCAUAGUGGUGAGAACCCCGUAACUGAUGCGGAUGCCCGGUGCUUUGUGAUACACUUUCGAAGAGUCGAGUUGUUUGGGAAUGCAGCUCAAAUUGGGUGGUAAAUUCCAUCUAAAGCUAAAUAUUGGCGAGAGACCGAUAGCGAACAAGUACCGUGAGGGAAAGAUGAAAAGCACUUUGGAAAGAGAGUUAACAGUACGUGAAAUUGUUGGAAGGGAAACGCUUGAAGUCAGACUUGCUAUUUGGAAUUCAGCCGCAAGGUGUAUUUUUCAAUUUGCAGGCCAGCAUCAGUUUUUGGGGGUGGAAAAGGGUAGAGAGAAGGUAGCAGUUUAGGCUGUGUUAUAGCUCUUUGCUGGAUUCAUCUUUAGGGACUGAGGAACGCAGUACGCUUUUUGCAAGGCUUUAGAGCUUUUCGUACUUAGGAUGCUGGUGGAAUGGCUUUAAACGACCCGUCUUGAAACACG